rnacentral:lncRNA from 1 species
AAAUCCCGCAGGAUUAAGGUGGAUCCAUUCCCGAUAAUCACACCCCCGGGGUCCAUUCCCGAUAACCACGUACUAUGAAAUGCAUGAGCAUACGAUUCCCCAUAUAUGCUAAUGCAACAAAUACAUACCUCUCAAGCAUAUGUAAUCCAAUCACAUGUUAAUACAUAUUAUCUCAAACAUAUGUAAAUAACGCGUGUAAUUUAAAACACGUUCUCG